GCCCAGAGCUUGCUAAGUGAGCACAAAAAAAUCUCAAGGCUUUGCCCAGAUAUGAAAUUAGACAACCCCCUGCCUCUGCCCUUCCCCCCACACAUACACACAAACACAUUCCGGGCUCCUGCUCUUUCCUCCCUUGGAAAGAACACUCAGUAAACAUUGCUUUACUUCCAGCCUCUCCGCCUCCUUGGAUUCCCUCACAGCCACAUGAGCUCACCUGGCCGCGCUAUCACCCAGCCCACGCUUUCCUGUGACUGGACGGUGGGCUGCACAGCAAGAGGUCUGCUCUCCUGUGCCACCCCAGCGCCUGGCUCUGCAGUGCCCACAGAGCCGGCAUGUGUUAAAGAAGGACACAGAAUUACAGGUGACAGGAGGGGACUUCUUGGGUCGGGUCACCAGUGCCGAUAGCAGGUUGGAAUUUGAGUCAUGCAAACCCACUGGCCGAAACUCUUCUCAACAUGGCAUCUGGGUGACAGGUGCUCAUUCUUGUUUGAAAUCAAACACGAGUCAAUGCUGGAGCUUCCUAAGGGUGUUCUUCUUUCAUGGAAGCAGAUAACACACGGCUGGGAACUUGAGGACGUGCUGUCUGUGUCCUGUCCAGACUACUCUUUGCUGGCACCUUCCAUGUUUUCUCUGGAACCCCUUUGGCUGCAUCAACUACAACCAGGUGAAAAGGGAGCGUGGCUGGCAGAGGUGGCAGAGGACAAGAGGAUGCAGGAGUGCAGGGUGGAGGGAAGAGAAAUUGCAAGUGAUGUUCACUGUGCUUCACAGCUUGGACUCUUACAACAAAAUCAACUACACUUGAAAUCCAGCUGUAACCAGCUAAGACUGGUUCAGCUUGCCACCGAGAGGAAACAGCACAGAGACUGAUAAUGAGAUGUAGCGAUGCCUUGAACUUCUUGCCCUGAGCUGCGCUCCUCAGAGGUACCCAGAUGACGUGCCUGGAGCUUUGGCAGCUAUUUUGUAACCAUGAGGUAAUGAGGCCCAAGACAAAGCCAUACAUAUUAAGAACUGCAGAACAGAAAAUCAGAAGGAAAGCCCUGGGUAUCUGAUGGCAUCACGAGUACCCAGCACCAGCAAUUGCCCUGGGGACCUCAUUUCAGGUAAGGAAAAUAAACCUCUAUUUGUUAAGCUACUAUUGGUCACAUUCUCCAUUACUUGCAGCCACGCACAGUUGUAGUGGAUCCCUGCUCUGUCACUGACCAGCUGGGUGAGAUUGAGCAAGUCAUUUAACAUGUGAACCAUAGUUUCUUGACCUAUUAAAUGGAGUUAACAGACCCUACCUCGUAGGUGCGUUCCCUGGGUCUGUCUUGUUCAGUGCAAGACCAACACAAUACAAAUGAUCACUAACAUCUCUCAAGAACUUAAUGUACCAGGAAUCCAUGAAAACAUUUUUGCAUGGACUAUCCAGCUUACUUCUUCACCAAAACACUGUGAGAUAAAUAUUAUCCAGUUCUACAGAUGAGAAAACUGAGGCAGAAAGAGGUCACUUGCCUGGGACACACAACUGCUAGUGGCAGAGAUGGGGUGAGUCCAGUUGGUGAGACUCAGCACACACAU